rnacentral:rRNA from 1 species
GAUGAACGCUAGCUACAGGCUUAACACAUGCAAGUCGAGGGGAAACGACAUUGGAAGCUUGCUUCCGAUGGGCGUCGACCGGCGCACGGGUGAGUAACGCGUAUCCAACCUGCCCACCACUUGGGGAUAACCUUGCGAAAGUAAGACUAAUACCCAAUGACGUCCAUAGAAGACAUCUGAAAUGGAUUAAAGAUUUAUCGGUGAUGGAUGGGGAUGCGUCUGAUUAGCUUGUUGGCGGGGUAACGGCCCACCAAGGCGACGAUCAGUAGGGGUUCUGAGAGGAAGGUCCCCCACAUUGGAACUGAGACACGGUCCAAACUCCUACGGGAGGCAGCAGUGAGGAAUAUUGGUCAAUGGGCGGAAGCCUGAACCAGCCAAGUAGCGUGAGGGAUGACUGCCCUAUGGGUUGUAAACCUCUUUUAUAAGGGAAUAAAAUACGGGACGUGUCCUGUUUUGCAUGUACCUUAUGAAUAAGGACCGGCUAAUUCCGUG